rnacentral:misc_RNA from 1 species
UCUCGCGCGCUCGGUCAUGUGCUCCUCGCCUUGGUGCUCGCUGCCGCCGCGAUCAUCUGCACUAGCAGCGCGCUCUAUCCUUCUGGAUCUGCAGGCCCACAGCAGGGUAGGUACGCUCACAUGAGCUGCAACAACUGCUAGCACCGCAGUUGAUCAAGCUACGCCCUGAUUACUUACCUCCUCGCUGCCGUUCGUGCGGCGCACUGAGGGUUCGCACUCUGGGCAAUGACGGCUACACGCUCUCCUCCUCGAACAAGAGCAGCAGUAGCACUACCUCCAUUGUGGCCAAGGGUACGCGCACGUCGAGCACGCAGACGGAGUGCAAGGCGAUGCACUGCACGGGCUGCAUCGCCAGUCUAUGCGCGACGUGUGAGGAUGGUUCCUACAUCGUCGAUGGUACUCGCACCCCAUGCAAGACCGAGAACUGCGCGUACUGCAAGUGUACCGGACAUUGCCUCACAUGUGAGCAGGGGUGCAGAGUCAGCCAACCGACCAACAUGAACUGCGGCAUCCAUCUCAGUAAGAACGGCGAGCGUGUUAGCGGAUUCAGCUUCAGGAGACCGGCAGCACUGGCGCCGCCGCUCUUGUGCUUGCUGUCGCUGCUGGUUUGCGACGCGCCCGUCAUUCAGCUUCAAGGGAAGCCUCACCGUAGAGCUUUUUUUUGGCUUUCUUGUGAGUGCUCAGAAGGCGUUCUGGCGUAUCCUCCUCAACCCGACAUGCCUCCUCGACUACGCCUAUGCAUGCGUGUGCGUCGCGGGUGCACAUCUCAUUCUCUUUGCGAAUCCCGCGUUGCGUCUCCUCCCAACCCGUAACUGCAGGGGGAGGGCUUGUCUUUGUCGAUCUGUUCUUACUCGUGAACGCAUGCAGGCGCGCUCAAUUACCUGCGGGCGACUAAAUUGCGACUGAAGCGAUUCUGCCUCGCCUCUCUCGCGCUCUCUCACGCGAUUCGCGCCUCUUCCACCCCCUCCCAGAGUGCACAUUUGCACACGCACUCAUGCGCCGCGCCCGCCGCCGUCUUUCUGACGAGAGGUGUUGGAGAGCGAGGUAGCGCUGCUGCUCUGCCUUCUUAUUCUCAAAAGGGCAGUCGACCAUCGAAACAAUGGCCGACAGCCAUCAAUACACGGGGCGCUAGCGAACCUCAAUGCUUCCCAACAUAGUCCGUGGAGCGGCUCAUCUUCUGCACCCUCGAGGCGAGCAGCUCACCGGUGCGGCGUUGUGUCGCGACAAGCCUACGGCGCUGCACGUACAGGGGGGCAGAGGCGCUUUUCUCGUCUUUAUUUUUCUGUCUUCAAGCCCGCCGCCACGGAGCCUUGUGCCUCUCUUCUGCUUGGUGUUGGUGUCGCCGUUGAUGGAAACGCCAAAACGAUGCGCACACCACUUGACCAGCAUGACUCAUGUGCUUAGCUUAUCCGUUUCACUGCCAUGUGUGUGCCUGGUGACUCAGAGGAGAGCAUAGGGGCGAGUGAGCUUACGCUCAUGGCCACACACCUUGCCGCACAAGCACGGACUUCAUUGCGGCUUCCACGGCGUCACGGAGUGCGUCUCCGGCGUCACCUCACGCGCUCUCGUUUCUUUUCUGUUUGUGCUGUUCUGCCUUUGGUGUGUGUGCGCGGGUCUCUUUACUUCCGCAAAGUGGGCGUGUUGGACACCUGCAACAUCUGCCUGCUCGCCAGACCAGCAAGCCUGGCUCCCGAAAGAAUAGCCACAGGCGUCACGAG